GCGCUCUCUAGAGAUGCAUAUGCGGCUACCUCAAACAACUCAUUUUUCCAUCUGGUUUCCUCUUCCUUUUUCCAGUGAGUUUCUUGUAUCAUUGCUAUAUCUAUCCGGUCCUUUCUGAGUAAUUCAUAUAAAAGUUUUCUUUUUAAUGGGGUAUUUAAACCCUGUAUAUUCAUAGAAAUGCACUACAGAGUUAUAUAUCCCAAUUAUUUACUCCUUGUCCCAGUCUCGGCUUUCCCCA